rnacentral:rRNA from 1 species
CCUACGGGAGGCAGCAGUGGGGAAUUUUGGACAAUGGGCGAAAGCCUGAUCCAGCAAUGCCGCGUGAGUGAAGAAGGCCUUCGGGUUGUAAAGCUCUUUUGUCAGGGAAGAAACGGUGAGAGCUAAUAUCUUUUGCUAAUGACGGUACCUGAAGAAUAAGCACCGGCUAACUACGUGCCAGCAGCCGCGGUAAUACGUAGGGUGCAAGCGUUAAUCGGAAUUACUGGGCGUAAAGCGUGCGCAGGCGGUUUUGUAAGUCUGAUGUGAAAUCCCCGGGCUCAACCUGGGAAUUGCAUUGGAGACUGCAAGGCUAGAAUCUGGCAGAGGGGGGUAGAAUUCCACGUGUAGCAGUGAAAUGCGUAGAUAUGUGGAGGAACACCGAUGGCGAAGGCAGCCCCCUGGGUCAAGAUUGACGCUCAUGCACGAAAGCGUGGGGAGCAAACAGGAUUAGAUACCCUGGUAGUCCACGCCCUAAACGAUGUCUACUAGUUGUCGGGUCUUAAUUGACUUGGUAACGCAGCUAACGCGUGAAGUAGACCGCCUGGGGAGUACGGUCGCAAGAUUAAAACUCAAAUGAAUUGACGG